AAGAAAUUAGGUUCAAACUUUUAA
rnacentral:tRNA from 1 species